rnacentral:rRNA from 1 species
UAAACGAUGAAUACUAGAUGUUUGUUGCCAAGCGUACUGAGUGUCGUAGCUAACGCGAUAAGUAUUCCGCUUGGGAAGUACGGCCGCAAGGUUAAAACUCAAAGGAAUUGACGGGUGCCCGCACAAGCGGUGGAGCAUGUGGUUUAAUUCGAUGCAACGCGAAGAACCUUACCUGGGCUUGACAUGUCUGGAAUCCUGCAGAGAUGCGGGAGUGCCCUUCGGGGAAUCAGAACACAGGUGCUGCAUGGCUGUCGUCAGCUCGUGUCGUGAGAUGUUGGGUUAAGUCCCGCAACGAGCGCAACCCUUGUCCUUAGUUGCCAGCGGUUCGGCCGGGCACUCUAGGGAGACUGCCGGUGACAAACCGGAGGAAGGUGGGGAUGACGUCAAGUCCUCAUGGCCUUUAUGUCCAGGGCUACACACGUGCUACAAUGGCGCGUACAGAGGGAAGCCAAGCCGCGAGGUGGAGCAGACCCCAGAAAGCGCGUCGUAGUUCGGAUUGCAGUCUGCAACUCGACUGCAUGAAGUCGGAAUCGCUAGUAAUCGCUGGAUCAGCAUGCC